rnacentral:rRNA from 1 species
CAACGCCGCGUGAGCGAUGAAGGCCUUCGGGUCGUAGAGCUCUGUUGUUAGGGAAGAACAAGUAUCGGAGUAACUGCCGGUACCUUGACGGUACCUAACCAGAAAGCCACGGCUAACUACGUGCCAGCAGCCGCGGUAAUACGUAGGUGGCAAGCGUUGUCCGGAAUUAUUGGGCGUAAAGCGCGCGCAGGCGGUCCUUUAAGUCUGAUGUGAAAGCCCACGGCUCAACCGUGGAGGGUCAUUGGAAACUGGGGGACUUGAGUGCAGAAGAGGAAAGCGGAAUUCCACGUGUAGCGGUGAAAUGCGUAGAGAUGUGGAGGAACACCAGUGGCGAAGGCGGCUUUCUGGUCUGUAACUGACGCUGAGGCGCGAAAGCGUGGGGAGCAAACAGGAUUAGAUACCCUGGUAGUCCACGCCGUAAACGAUGAGUGCUAAGUGUUAGAGGGUUUCCGCCCUUUAGUGCUGCAGCUAACGCAUUAAGCACUCCGCCUGGGGAGUACG